rnacentral:rRNA from 1 species
GAUGAACGUUGGCGGCGUGCCUAAUACAUGCAAGUCGAACGGAGAUUGUAGUAAUACGGUCUCAGUGGCGAACGGGUGAGUAACGCGUUGGUGACCUGCCCCGAAGUGUGGAAUAACAGAUCGAAAGAGCUGCUAAUACCGCAUAAUAUCCAGAAGAUUAGACGCUUUUGGAUUAAAGGAUUUAUUCGCUUCGGGAGGGGCCUGCGUCCCAUCAGCUAGUUGGUAAGGUAAUGGCUUACCAAGGCUAUGACGGGUAGGGACCUGAGAGGGUGGCCCCCCAAAUGGAACUGAAACACGGUCCAUACACCUACGGGUGGCAGCAGUAGGGAAUAUUAGUAAUGGGCGAAAGCCUGAACUAGCAACGCCGCGUGUGCGAAGAAGGCCUUCGGGUUGUAAAGCACUUUUAGAGAGGAUGAGGAAGGACGGUACUCUCAGAAUAAGUCUCGGCUAACUACGUG